UAAGAAUCUUCCGCAAUGGGCGCAAGCCUGACGGAGCGACGCCGCGUGGACGAUGAAGGCCGUAAGGUUGUAAAGUCCUUUUCUCUGUGAGGAAUAAGGGUGGGAGUGGAAAGCCCGCCUGAUGACGGUAAUGGAGGAAUAAGCACCGGCUAACUACGUGCCAGCAGCCGCGGUAAUACGUAGGGUGCGAGCGUUGUUCGGAGUUAUUGGGCGUAAAGGGCGUGUAGGCGGCUUGAGAAGUCUGAUUUGAAAUGCACUGGCUCAACUGGUGCGCUGGGUCAGAAACUUGCAGGCUAGAGUUCAUAGGGAGGAACUGGAAUUCCAGGUGUAGGGGUGAAAUCUGUAGAGAUCUGGAAGAACACCGGUAGCGAAGGCGGGUUCCUAUGGAUGGACUGACGCUGAGGCGCGAAAGCGUGGGGAGCGAAC
rnacentral:rRNA from 1 species